UACGUAGGGGGCUAGCGUUGUCCGGAAUCAUUGGGCGUAAAGCGCGCGUAGGCGGCCCGGUAAGUCCGCUGUAAAAGUCCAGGCUCAACCCUGGAACGCCGGUGGAUACUGUCGGGCUAGAGUCCGGAAGAGGCGAGUGGAAUUCCUGGUGUAGCGGUGGAAUGCGCAGAUAUCAGGAGGAACACCGAUGGCGAAGGCAGGUCUCUGGGCCACUACUGACGCUGAGAAGCGAAAGCAUGGGGAGCGAACAGG
rnacentral:rRNA from 1 species